GAUGAACGCUGGCGGCGUGCCUAAUACAUGCAAAUCGAGCGAACAGACGAGGAGCUUGCUCCUCUGACGUUAGCGGCGGACGGGUGAGUAACACGUGGAUAACCUACCUAUAAGACUGGGAUAACUUCGGGAAACCGGAGCUAAUACCGGAUAAUAUAUUGAACCGCAUGGUUCAAUAGUGAAAGACGGUUUUGCUGUCACUUAUAGAUGGAUCCGCGCCGCAUUAGCUAGUUGGUAAGGUAACGGCUUACCGAGGCAACGAUGCGUAGCCGACCUGAGAGGGUGAUCGGCCACACUGGAACUGAGACACGGUCCAGACUCCUACGGGAGGCAGCAGUAGGGAAUCUUCCGCAAUGGGCGAAAGCCUGACGGAGCAACGCCGCGUGAGUGAUGAAGGUCUUCGGAUCGUAAAACUCUGUUAUUAGGGAAGAACAAAUGUGUAAGUAACUAUGCACGUCUUGACGGUACCUAAUCAGAAAGCCACGGCUAACUACGUG
rnacentral:rRNA from 1 species